GGUGGGUUAGACAAGUGGUUAAGUCAUAGGGUUUUCAUCCCUACAUCAGGAGUUCGAAUCUCCUACCCAUUA
rnacentral:tRNA from 1 species